CCUAAAGCAAAACUACGAUGUUCAAAGUAUUUCCUAAACUAUUGUGAGAUUAUUGUAAAGUACAUGGGGGAAUUUUAACUACUUGGGGUAAUCUAGCAUUAAUUGUUAUAGACUUAAAAAUAUGAGAAAUGGGCCCAACUGACUAUUUUGUAAAAACUGGCCCAGUCGCAACUCUAAAUUGAUUGGGCAUGUCGUGGUUGUGUUUUCAGAAAUGAUAAAUCGCUAAUCAUACAUUGUCUAAGUCCAAAUUUGAUUUGCAUAAGAGUAAUAAAAUCUCAUCAGAAAAUUAUUGUAUUCAAGUUUAAAUUAACUAUACUAACAGGAUUUCUAAUACCCUAAAUCAAAAUUAGAAUUACAUUAAUUUCAGAAGAAAAAAAACAAGUUCAUAAUUUGGGCCAAGUUAUUGGGCUUAAUACUCACGCCCAGCUGCCUGAAAUCCAGAAUUUCAUUCUCUAUAAGGGAACGGAAACUGGUCAUGUUGGAGUGCCUGGCCCAGUUCAUUUUAGUCAGCUAAAACAGUUUAAAAAUUUUAAGAAAACAGAAUGUCUAGCAAACUCACAUCAUUAUCAAAUUAAAACAGCCUUAUACUAAAUAAAACUAAUCAGAACAUUAAAAAUUCCAGUUUUUUGGGAAAAUUUGAAAUACGUUAAUAAGCUAUUCUAUCAAUUAAAACUAUCAUUUACAAACUUGAAUCAAAAUAAGAUUCCAAAGUAACUCUUAUACUUUUUUCUUUCAGCACUGGCAAUGAACAACAAUAGAACUACACAUUCAAGCUCUUCCAUUCAUGCGUUUGUGAAUGAGACACUUCACAGAGAUGGAUCUGACUAACUGGUGGUCAGAUUCAUCCCUUAGCCAUUCUUUAACCUUCCUUCAAGUGUGAAUCAACAUUGAUACCAAAAAAAAAAGGAAAACACAGUAAGAAUUCAGUCCACUUAAGCUGAACCAGGACAUAUGUGUUUUUUGUCACAACAAAUAAGAUAAAAGCUUGAAGUUCAUAAAGAAAAAUGAAAGCAUCACAGAUACUCUUAGAACUACUUCAGAAAUUUGCAAAGAAUAAGCAGGAAUUCAAAUGCUUAACCACAUUUACAAGCAUAAACCAAUCAAAUGUUAAUAAUGGAAAUCUACUAACGAAUGAACUGAUUCUUCAACAUAAUAACUGUUAUUUUCUCAUAAAGUUGUCAUACACCUAAAAACUAUCAGAGAGCUGAUAGUAGAUUACCUCAAGAUAGCUUAACGAGAAGGAUUUAUGAUCAAAUAAAAGCCAGCAACACUCAAAAUAGCAGCAGCAAAUAGAACAGCAACAAAAAUCCCAGAAUAUUUGACUAAAACCAACUUUAAAUAGCAGGGAUUAUGAACUAGGGAAACAAGGAGCUAUUUCUAUUUUCAAAUCCACUUGGAAACCCAGAAAAAGGAAGAAAAACCAGUGUGAAAAUCAAUUUCCAGAAUUCCUUGUGUAUCAAAGUUGCCUUUUAGAUUGCCUAAUGCUGAUGAUAGUCUGUGUGUGAACGAGUGAGGGUCUAUUCCUUUUAUAAGAUGCACAAAGAUAGCAUAAAAAAG
rnacentral:lncRNA from 1 species